CAGCAAGAGAUAGUCCUGCCGGGGUAGAAGUCAGAGCGCCGUAGUUUGGACAGCAGAGGACAUGGAAACAGUACUUCUGAAGCCUAUCGACAGAGCUAUCGCCAAAUUUUGGUGACGGCCGAGCCGGUCAGGCGGCGGCGAUU
rnacentral:ncRNA from 1 species